UACGUAGGGAGCAAGCGUUAUCCGGAUUUAUUGGGUGUAAAGGGUGCGUAGACGGGAUAACAAGUUAGUUGUGAAAACCCUCGGCUCAACUGAGGAACUGCAACUAAAACUAUUAUUCUUGAGUGCAGGAGGGGAAAGUGGAAUUCCUAGUGUAGCGGUGAAAUGCGUAGAUAUUAGGAAGAACACCAGUGGCGAAGGCGACUUUCUGGACUGUAGCUGACGUUGAGGCACGAAAGUGUGGGGAGCAAACAGG
rnacentral:rRNA from 1 species